AGGGAAUCUUCGGCAAUGGACGGAAGUCUGACCGAGCAACGCCGCGUGAGUGAAGAAGGUUUUCGGAUCGUAAAGCUCUGUUGUAAGAGAAGAACGAGUGUGAGAGUGGAAAGUUCACACUGUGACGGUAUCUUACCAGAAAGGGACGGCUAACUACGUGCCAGCAGCCGCGGUAAUACGUAGGUCCCGAGCGUUGUCCGGAUUUAUUGGGCGUAAAGCGAGCGCAGGCGGUUAGAUAAGUCUGAAGUUAAAGGCUGUGGCUUAACCAUAGUACGCUUUGGAAACUGUUUAACUUGAGUGCAAGAGGGGAGAGUGGAAUUCCAUGUGUAGCGGUGAAAUGCGUAGAUAUAUGGAGGAACACCGGUGGCGAAAGCGGCUCUCUGGCUUGUAACUGACGCUGAGGCUCGAAAGCGUGGGGAGCAAACAGGAUUAGAUACCCUGGUAGUCCACGCCGUAAACGAUGAGUGCUAGGUGUUAGACCCUUUCCGGGGUUUAGUGCCGUAGCUAACGCAUUAAGCACUCCGCCUGAGGAGUACGACCGCAAGGUUG
rnacentral:rRNA from 1 species